rnacentral:rRNA from 1 species
GACGAACGCUGGCGGCGUGCUUAACACAUGCAAGUCGAACGGAAAGGCCCUGCUUUUGUGGGGUGCUCGAGUGGCGAACGGGUGAGUAACACGUGAGUAACCUGCCCUUGACUUUGGGAUAACUUCAGGAAACUGGGGCUAAUACCGGAUAGGAGCUCCUGCUGCAUGGUGGGGGUUGGAAAGUUUCGGCGGUUGGGGAUGGACUCGCGGCUUAUCAGCUUGUUGGUGGGGUAGUGGCUUACCAAGGCUUUGACGGGUAGCCGGCCUGAGAGGGUGACCGGCCACAUUGGGACUGAGAUACGGCCCAGACGCCUACGGGAGGCAGCAGUGGGGAAUAUUGCACAAUGGGCGGAAGCCUGAUGCAGCAACGCCGCGUGCGGGAUGACGGCCUUCGGGUUGUAAACCGCUUUCGCCUGUGACGAAGCGUGGGUGACGGUAAUGGGUAAAGAAGCACCGGCUAACUACGUG